AGCCAGUUGUGGUGGCCUGUGCCUGUAAUCCCAGCUACUCGGGAGGCUGAGAUAAGAGAACUGCUUGAACCCAGGAGGUGGAGAGUGCAGUGAGCUGAGAUCGUGCCACUGUACUCCAGCCUGGGCAACAGAGCCAAGACUCCAUCUAAAAAAAAAAAAAAAUUAUUGAGCCCCACCUGCAUACAUCUGUGGUAGAGAUUAAGAACAUACAGUUUUUUGGUUUUUUUUGAGAUGGAGUUUCGCUCUUGUCGCCUAGGAUAGAGUGCAAUGGCACGAUCUCGGUUCACUGCAACCUCGGCCUCCCAGGUUCAAGCAAUUCUCCUUCCUCAGCCUCCCGAGUAGUUGGGAUUACCGGCACCAGCUACUACACCCGGCUAAUUUUUGUAUUUUGAGUACAGACGGG
rnacentral:lncRNA from 1 species